rnacentral:rRNA from 1 species
AGAGUUUGAUCCUGGCUCAGGAUGAACGCUAGCGGCAGGCCUAAUACAUGCAAGUCGAACGGUAAGGCUCUAACUUGUUAGAGCACACGAGUGGCGCACGGGUGCGUAACGCGUAUGCAACCUACCUUUUACUGGGGGAUAGCCCGGGGAAACCCGGAUUAAUACCCCAUGAUAUUUUUGAGAGGCAUCUCUCAAUUCCUAAAACUCCGACGGUUAAAGAUGGGCAUAUGUGACAUUAGUUUGUUGGUGAGGUAAUGGCUCACCAAGACUACGAUGUCUAGGGGAUCUGAGAGGAUUGUCCCCCACACUGGUACUGAGACACGGACCAGACUCCUACGGGAGGCAGCAGUAAGGAAUAUUGGUCAAUGGACGAAAGUCUGAACCAGCCAUGCCGCGUGCAGGAUGACGGCCCUACGGGUUGUAAACUGCUUUUAUACGAGAAAAAACCUCCUUACGUGUAAGGAGCUGAUGGUAUCGUAAGAAUAAGGAUCGGCUAACUCCGUGCCAGCAGCCGCGGUAAUACGGAGGAUCCAAGCGUUAUCCGGAUUUAUUGGGUUUAAAGGGUGCGUAGGCGGAAUAUUAAGUCAGUGGUGAAAGCCUGCAGCUCAACUGUAGAAUUGCCAUUGAUACUAUUGUUCUUGAGUAAAGUUGAAGUGGGCGGAAUGUGUCAUGUAGCGGUGAAAUGCAUAGAGAUGACACAGAACACCGAUAGCGAAGGCAGCUCACUAAGCUUUAACUGACGCUGAGGCACGAAAGCGUGGGGAGCGAACAGGAUUAGAUACCCUGGUAGUCCACGCCGUAAACGAUGAUUACUCGAUGUGUGCGACAUAAUGUACGCGUCCAAGCGAAAGCGUUAAGUAAUCCACCUGGGGAGUACGUUCGCAAGAAUGAAACUCAAAGGAAUUGACGGGGGCCCGCACAAGCGGUGGAGCAUGUGGUUUAAUUCGAUGAUACGCGAGGAACCUUACCUGGGCUUAAAUGCAUUGUGACAGGCUGGGAAACCAGUCCUUCUUCGGACACAUUGCAAGGUGCUGCAUGGUUGUCGUCAGCUCGUGCCGUGAGGUGUCGGGUUAAGUCCCAUAACGAGCGCAACCCCUAUCUCUAGUUGCCAGCACAUAAUGGUGGGGACUCUAGAGAAACUGCCCGCGCAAGCGGUGAGGAAGGUGGGGAUGACGUCAAGUCAGCACGGCCCUUACGUCCAGGGCUACACACGUGUUACAAUGGCCGGUACAGAGGGCAGCUACCUAGUGAUAGGAUGCAAAUCUCUAAAGCCGGUCUCAGUUCGGAUCGAAGUCUGCAACUCGACUUCGUGAAGUUGGAAUCGCUAGUAAUCGCGCAUCAGCCAUGGCGCGGUGAAUACGUUCCCGGGCCUUGUACACACCGCCCGUCAAGCCAUGGAAGCUGGGGGUACCUGAAGUCCGUCACCGAAAGGAGCGGCCUAGGGUAAAACCGAUAACUAGGGCUAAGUCGUAACAAGGUAGCC